UGACUCAGACUCGUCACUCUUCAAUCUAACCCUAACCUCCCCCGCCGCCCACCCAUCCACUCCACUCAAACCACCCGCCGCCACGCCGCCCUCCCUACCGGACCGACCACGCCCAGCACCGCUGCGGCCUGCGAGCCUGCGCCUGACGCAGUGACGCCGACUCCCGGUCUCCCCCCUGCGCGCCCAGAGUCCAGACGCCCCGCCGCCCAGCCUACCGGACCGACCACGCCCAGCACCGCUGCGAGCCUGCGCCUGACGCGCAGACGCAGUGACGCCGACUCCCGAUCUCCCCCCUGCGCGCCCAGAGUCCAGACGCCUCGCCGCGCGACCACAGCCACUCCGCGCGGCCGCUGCCGGCUGCCCUGACUUCGCGCGCCCAUCGCAGUGUGUUCCCCUGCCCAGACGGGUCUGACCCGGACCGAACCGGACCCGUUGCUCGGGUUCGGU
rnacentral:lncRNA from 1 species